rnacentral:rRNA from 1 species
CCUACGGGAGGCAGCAGUGGGGAAUAUUGGACAAUGGGCGAAAGCCUGAUCCAGCAAUGCCGCGUGAGUGAUGAAGGCCUUAGGGUUGUAAAGCUCUUUUACCAGGGAUGAUAAUGACAGUACCUGGAGAAUAAGCUCCGGCUAACUCCGUGCCAGCAGCCGCGGUAAUACGGAGGGAGCUAGCGUUGUUCGGAAUUACUGGGCGUAAAGCGUACGUAGGCGGUUAUUCAAGUCAGAGGUGAAAGCCCGGGGCUCAACCCCGGAACUGCCUUUGAAACUAGAUAGCUAGAAUCUUGGAGAGGUUAGUGGAAUUCCGAGUGUAGAGGUGAAAUUCGUAGAUAUUCGGAAGAACACCAGUGGCGAAGGCGACUAACUGGACAAGUAUUGACGCUGAGGUACGAAAGCGUGGGGAGCAAACAGGAUUAGAUACCCUGGUAGUCCACGCCGUAAACGAUGAUAACUAGUUGUUCGGGCACUUGGUGCCUGAGUGACGCAGCUAACGCAUUAAGUUAUCCGCCUGGGGAGUACGGUCGCAAGNUUAAAACUCAAAUGAAAUUGACGG